ACUGCUUCCUGACAGGGAGUGCUGCAUAGCUAGAGAGCUCCUUCAGUGUUUCAGUGAGUUCAGCUGUUCUUGCUGUAUAUGACUAUUGACCUACCUGUGAAUACUUUGCCUGGUAUUGCUAAGAACCUGUCAGAAGGAAUUUUGCAUCUUCAUGAGAAGAACAGCUGAUGUGCCAAGAGAGGGGAAGAAGUCUCAUCUUGAUACAUUGUGGAAAACAACAACAACAACAAAACCCACAACAAAUAUUCCAGAAUUUCCUGAUGCUACCUGGUCUGUUCUGCAUGGAGUGCUCUCCCAGCGGUCUUGGGGCAGGUCCCAAAGGUUAUGGCAUCAUCUGGAACUGGCUGGAAUCUUGUCUGGAUCUUCUCCUGCUCUGCUCCUGGGGAGGUUGUAGCACAGUAGUUAUGUUUAAGGGAAAGGAUGGUUUUAACUUUGAAAUGAUAAAUAUGUCCUUGACCCUAUCCUAGUUUCCAAUUAUGCUCAUUUUACAAAAUCACUGCUUUCAGAGGGAAGGCACUGACUGAGAAGACUCGGCUUUCUCACGUGCAGUGGGAACUAAGACUAGGGGCUCCAUUAGCAGCUUCUUCUAUUUACUGCAUUAGAUAUUUACAGUAUUUUAUCCCUUGGUAUUCCACAGAUAGCUAGCUCAGAUGAAGUUGCUUUUGUUUAAAAUUUAUAGCUUUGAUAUCUGACAAGAAAUGGGCACUUCAGUUCCUUUCCUUCUUUCUUGAUUGCUGCAGGAAAUUUACUAUUUCUUUUCCCUGUCAGGCAGCACAGAGAGAAUACAAUUCCCACUGCUGCAUUCAUCUGCAUUCAUCACAAGCAUUCAUGUAUAUCUCUAAGCACCACUGAUGAAUUACAUAACAGUACAGUGUAAUUUCAUAACAGUUUAUUAUAUACCAUACAGAAUUUUUCCAAUGGCUAUAGGGCGAAAAGUAGCUGAGAAGCAUAUCCAGAUCCUAAUCUCGUCUUUACUAGACAUAAAAGCUGUUUGACAUAUUGGCUCUCUUUCUGGUUUAGAAUUGGAAAUGAAGAGGCCUUUCCUUUGUCAUCUGCUCAUAAAACACUGCAAGGUAUUGUGUAAAGUUGAGAUUGUAGUGGGAACUGUUCAAAGACCUGGAAUGACUACUGAAGUAAUUAUUGUUGGUUGUGUAAAAAUAUACUUUGUACAGCUUCAAAAAUGUAAUGAAGCUGCUGAACUUUUAAAAUUCUGCUGUGUCUUUAAUUCCUUUCCUUUGUAGCUGGAUAAAAAAAAAAAAGAAAGAAACGGUUACAGUAAGUGCUGUAGUUCUUAUUCUUUCAACAGAAGGAUGGGAUUAUUUCAACUUUUGUAUUAAAAAACCCUCACACAUUAAAUGAAUUGCAUUAAAGUGACAUAUUAAUAACUUGGAGCUAGCAAUUUCAUUUCCCAGUGCCUACUUUGAGUCCUCAUGAUCUAAUGCAUCUUAACUUCAAAGCAGUUUCUUCAGGAUACAGGAAUGGAGUUUGAGUGUGAUUUCAACAAUAACGAUUACUUCUGACUUUGAUAAUUACUUAUACAUGCAAGGACAGUUGUGUCUGUCUCUCUUUUUUUUUUUAAUUCCCUCCUGCCCCUCUGCUUUUUGAAGAGCUUUAUAGUUGAACAGAUUGCACGGACUGAUUUUAUGGACAGUGAUGUGUGAAAAUAAACGCUGUUGCAACAUUUGAUCA
ensembl:lncRNA